rnacentral:rRNA from 1 species
CCUACGGGGGGCAGCAGUGAGGAAUAUUGGUCAAUGGACGAGAGUCUGAACCAGCCAAGUAGCGUGAAGGAUGACUGCCCUAUGGGUUGUAAACUUCUUUUAUAUGGGAAUAAAAUGUUCCACGUGUGGGAUUUUGUAUGUACCAUAUGAAUAAGGAUCGGCUAACUCCGUGCCAGCAGCCGCGGUAAUACGGAGGAUCCGAGCGUUAUCCGGAUUUAUUGGGUUUAAAGGGAGCGUAGGUGGAUUGUUAAGUCAGUUGUGAAAGUUUGCGGCUCAACCGUAAAAUUGCAGUUGAAACUGGCAGUCUUGAGUACAGUAGAGGUGGGCGGAAUUCGUGGUGUAGCGGUGAAAUGCUUAGAUAUCACGAAGAACUCCGAUUGCGAAGGCAGUUCACUGGACUGCAACUGACGCUGAGGCUCGAAAGUGUGGGUAUCAAACAGGAUUAGAUACCCUAGUAGUC